rnacentral:snRNA from 1 species
GGAUGUGAGGGCCACCUGGCUGCAACAUCCACCACUCCAUUGACCACCAGGAUUGAUUCCGUUGAUCUGGCUAGCUAGGUGGGUGUUUCGAUAGAGGAAGACUGCUCUUUAGUCAGGGAUAUACAAGUAACUACAUUCCCCUCCAAGAACUUCAAACAAGCUCUCAAGGUCCAUUUGUAGGAGAAGGUAGGGUAAUCAAGCUUCUAAGACUCAAGACCCAUCCAAAUGAGGUGCUACAUGUGGCAGUCUGCUUUUCUGA